rnacentral:rRNA from 1 species
ACUCCUACGGGAGGCAGCAGUAGGGAAUCUUCCACAAUGGGCGCAAGCCUGAUGGAGCAACACCGCGUGAGUGAAGAAGGGUUUCGGCUCGUAAAGCUCUGUUGUUAAAGAAGAACACGUAUGAGAGUAACUGUUCAUACGUUGACGGUAUUUAACCAGAAAGUCACGGCUAACUACGUGCCAGCAGCCGCGGUAAUACGUAGGUGGCAAGCGUUAUCCGGAUUUAUUGGGGCGUAAAGAGAGUGCAGGCGGUUUUCUAAGUCUGAUGUGAAAGCCUUCGGCUUAACCGGAGAAGUGCAUCGGAAACUGGAUAACUUGAGUGCAGAAGAGGGUAGUGGAACUCCAUGUGUAGCGGUGGAAUGCGUAGAUAUAUGGAAGAACACCAGUGGCGAACGGCGGCUACCUGGUCUGCAACUGACGCUGAGACUCGAAAGCAUGGGUAGCGAACAGGAUUAGAUACCCUGGUAGGAUAGCG